UACGGUGACAUCACUUUGAAACACCGGUUCCCGUAUGAUCACCGAAGCUAAGCAACGAUGAGUCUGGUCACUACCAAGAUGGGUGACCACUUCGUAA